UGCAAGUCGAACGCAGUAGCAAUACUGAGUGGCAGACGGGUGAGUAUAAUGUGGGAAUCUGCCUUUUGGUUCGGAAUAACACGAGGAAACUUGUGCUAAUACCGGAUAAGCCUUCACAGGGAAAGUUUUAAUGCCAAAAGAUGAGCCCGCACUUGAUUAGCUAGUUGGUAAGGUAAUUGCUUACCAAGGCAACGAUCAAUAGCUGUUCUUAGAGGAAGACCAGCCACAUUGGGACUGAGACACGGCCCAAACUCCUACGGGAGGCAGCAGUGGGGAAUCUUGCACAAUGGGGGCAACCCUGAUGCAGCGAUGCCGCGUGAGUGAAGAAGGCCUUUGGGUUGUAAAACUCUUUCGUCGGGGAAGAAAAUGACUGUACCCGAAUAAGAAGGUCCGGCUAACUUCGUGCCAGCAGCCGCGGUAAUACGAAGGGACCUAGCGUAGUUCGGAAUUACUGGGCUUAAAGAGUUCGUAGGUGGUUAAAAAAGUUGAUGGUGAAAUCCCAAGGCUCAACCUUGGAACUGCCAUCAAAACUUUUUAGCUAGAGUAUGAUAGAGGAAAGUGGAAUUUCUAGUGUAGAGGUGAAAUUCGUAGAUAUUAGAAAGAACAUCAAAAGCGAA
rnacentral:rRNA from 1 species